rfam:Actinomycetales bacterium JB111 genome assembly, contig: Scaffold1
UCCGGUCUUCGGUAGUGGCCUCCGGAUCCGAACCGGCUCCGUGGGCCUCGAUCGACGGCCGCU